UUUUGCAUUUUUUUCUUAAAGAAGUACAUGCUUUUUCUUAAAGAAGUUUCUAAAAACUGAAUAUUCAUUAGGUCCCACAAAAUCUGGUGUUCCCAUAGUUGGAGGACUUCUGGAACUGGUGAGCAGUCCAUCAGAUGGGAUUUCGGAUGUUGGAAUCAUGAGGCUUUUGUUUAAGAGUUGCUUAAGAUGUUCUUCAGAUCCUGAAUUCCAGCAGAACAGCUGACAUCCACAACCAGUUUGAGGAUCCCCACAGAAGAGCUGAAUCAACAUGAGAAUGCAGUUUCUUCAUCUCUCCAGUCCAUGACUUCACCCUGCAAUCCCCACAGAAGAGCUGAAUCAACAUGAGAAUGCAGUUUCUUCAUCUCUCCAGUCCAUGACUUCACCCUGCAAUCCCCACACCUCAGCCCACUCCAAACCCCUUACAAACUCCUCAGGGAGGCAAAUCUGAGGUUUCCUUCCAUCUCCUUGUUCAGAUGCCCUAUGAUUAUUAAACCCUUUCUCUGCUGCAA